rnacentral:rRNA from 1 species
GGAUUAGAUACCCUGGUAGUCCACGCUGUAAACGAUGAGUGCUAGAUGUUGGAGUUUAUCUUCAGUUUCGUAGCUAACGCAUUAAGCACUCCGCCUGGGGAGUACGAUCGCAAGAUUAAAACUCAAAGGAAUUGACGGGGGCUCGCACAAGCGGUGGAGCAUGCGGUUUAAUUCGAUGCUACGCGAAAAACCUUACCAACUCUUGACAUGGUGGUCGCGAAUCGUAGAGAUAUGAUUCUUCAGUUUGGCUGGACCACACACAGGUGCUGCAUGGCUGUCGUCAGCUCGUGCUG